UUUUCAAUAUUGGUCCCUUUGACAUGGAAAUGACCCAUAUAUAUUGCUCUAGUUUCAAUUUUUGAUUGCUAGUGUUCUAUAUUUUUGAGCUCAUCUCUUUUUGUAGUUUCAUAAUAUAUAUAUAGGUUAAUCAGGGAAUUUUUAAAUUUUCAAUUUUCUAAAUAUUUUACUUUAAUUUAUUUACUUACACUUAUUUUAUAGAUUAAAUAAUCUUGAUUAGGUGUCAUGAGUUCUCCCGGUGUCGUCAGAGAUCGAGCAAACUCUGAGAGGGGGGUGAACAAUGCCCAAUUGUUUCGCCGUUCGUUAAGCAAGAUUUUUAGUGCCCUAGAUGAAAGCAAGAAUCUGAGAGGAUCAAUAAGGGAUGACAUUCAAAAGAGUCUAGCUACAAUGUCAACCAUUUUUGAAGGGCUACUUGAGGAAUUUAUCAAAGUAGAUGAGAGAGUGAAAUACUUGC
rnacentral:lncRNA from 1 species